rnacentral:rRNA from 1 species
CAGCAAUGCCGCGUGUGUGAAGAAGGCCUUCGGGUUGUAAAGCACUUUUAUCAGGAGCGAAAACCUGUCGGUUAAUACCCGGCGGGCCUGACGGUACCUGAGGAAUAAGCACCGGCUAACUUCGUGCCAGCAGCCGCGGUAAUACGAAGGGUGCAAGCGUUAAUCGGAAUUACUGGGCGUAAAGCGUGCGUAGGCGGUUUGUUAAGUCUGCUGUGAAAUCCCCGGGCUCAACCUGGGAAUGGCAGUGGAUACUGGCAGGCUAGAGUGUGUCAGAGGGUGGUGGAAUUCCCGGUGUAGCGGUGAAAUGCGUAGAGAUCGGGAGGAACAUCAGUGGCGAAGGCGGCCACCUGGGACAACACUGACGCUGAGGCACGAAAGCGUGGGGAGCAAACAGGAUUAGAUACCCUGGUAGUCCACGCCCUAAACGAUGCGAACUGGAUGUUGUCUCAACUCGGAGAUCAGUGUCGAAGCUAACGCGUUAAGUUCGCCGCCUGGGGAGUACGGUCGCAAGACUGAAACUAAAGGAAUUGACGGGGGCCCGCACAAGCGGUGGAGUAUGUGGUUUAAUUCGAUGCAACGCGAAGAACCUUACCUGGCCUUGACAUGUCUGGAAUCCUGCAGAGAUGCGGGAGUGCCUUCGGGAAUAAAACACAAGUGCUGCAUGGCUGUCGUCAACUCGUGUCGUGAGAUGUUGGGUUAAUCCCAACGACGCACCCUUGUCUUAGUGCACCCUAUGGUGGAACUCUAAGAG